AGUGAACGCUGGCGGUAGGCCUAACACAUGCAAGUCGAACGGCAGCACCGUAAGAGCUUGCUCUUACGGGUGGCGAGUGGCGGACGAGUGAGGAAUACAUCGGAAUCUACUUUUUCGUGGGGGAUAACGUAGGGAAACUUACGCUAAUACCGCAUACGACCUACGGGUGAAAGCAGGGGAUCUUCUGACCUUGCGCGAUUGAAUGAGCCGAUGUCGGAUUAGCUAGUUGGCGGGGUAAAGGCCCACCAAGGCGACGAUCCGUAGCUGGUCUGAGAGGAUGAUCAGCCACACUGGAACUGAGACACGGUCCAGACUCCUACGGGAGGCAGCAGUGGGGAAUAUUGGACAAUGGGCGCAAGCCUGAUCCAGCCAUACCGCGUGGGUGAAGAAGGCCUUCGGGUUGUAAAGCCCUUUUGUUGGGAAAGAAAAGCAGCAGGUUAAUACCCCGCUGUCCUGACGGUACCCAAAGAAUAAGCACCGGCUAACUUCGUG
rnacentral:rRNA from 1 species